GUGUCAGCAGCCGCGGUAAUACGUAGGGGGCAAGCGUUGUCCGGAUUUACUGGGCGUAAAGAGCGCGUAGGCGGAGAGUUAAGCGUGCCUUGAAAGCCCCCGGCUCAACCGGGGAAGGUGGGUGCGAACUGGCUUUCUUGAGGGCGAUAGAGGGGGGCGGAAUUCCUGGUGUAGCGGUGAAAUGCGUAGAGAUCAGGAGGAACACCCGUGGCGAAGGCGGCCCCCUGGGUCGGCCCUGACGCUGAGGCGCGAAAGCGUGGGGAGCGAACGGGAUUAGAUACCCCAGUAGUCC
rnacentral:rRNA from 1 species